rnacentral:rRNA from 1 species
GACGAACGCUGGCGGCGUGCCUAAUACAUGCAAGUCGAGCAGACUUGACGAGAAGCUUGCUUCUCUGAUGGUUAGCGGCGGACGGGUGAGUAACACGUAGGCAACCUGCCUGUAAGACUGGGAUAACUACCGGAAACGGUAGCUAAUACCGGAUAGCUGGUUUUCUCGCAUGAGAGAAUCAUGAAAGACGGAGCAAUCUGUCGCUUAUGGAUGGGCCUGCGGCGCAUUAGCUAGUUGGUGAGGUAAUGGCUCACCAAGGCGACGAUGCGUAGCCGACCUGAGAGGGUGAACGGCCACACUGGGACUGAGACACGGCCCAGACUCCUACGGGAGGCAGCAGUAGGGAAUCUUCCGCAAUGGACGAAAGUCUGACGGAGCAACGCCGCGUGAGUGAUGAAGGUUUUCGGAUCGUAAAGCUCUGUUGCCAGGGAAGAACGUCUUAGAGAGUAACUGCUCUAAGAGUGACGGUACCUGAGAAGAAAGCCCCGGCUAACUACGUGCCAGCCGCCGCAGUAAAAC